AUGGAACCUAAGACAACCGUAGAGACGGGGUACAUCAGCCCUGAGCGAGUGCUGCCUCUUUCCACGCCUCCUUUGGAGAAGAGGUACAUGAGUGCGGAGAAGUACAUGAAUAUCGAUCACUCCCAUCCAACCUCUCUAACUGGAAGCGGCCCAGGGACCACCAUGUCGCCAACAUUGUCCCCAAAAGGGCAGAACAACCAUAUCUACGAAGAGAUAAGAUGAGAGGAGGGCAGCGCAUGGAUGGUCUGUCCACACGAAGGAGAGGGCCCCGCAGGAUGGGGACUGCCUCGGCUUUGCAUUAAAGCAUCUCUUGUUUUGUUUUUUCCCCUCCUUUACUCAUAUGGUGUUUGCAAAUGUUAUGGUUUCCAUAUUCCUAAGCAGAACCGGCCUGCUUUGACCUCUUAACAGUGAACACACUUUACAGCAUUUCCUGCUCUUGGGAGCUUUGGGGGAGUUUGCCUGUUAUCCCAUACCUCUGUAUGCCAUUUAUAGGAAGGCAGUGGCCUAAAAGGGAUAAUUAUUCUGGUUACUUUAAAGAUGUCUACAAAUUCUAAUGUGUUUUUUGAAAUUCAGUAGAUUAUGUUGCCCCGUGGGGGUUGGUAGAUGCCAUAAUAAUAAUAAUAAUAAUAAUAAUAAUAAUAAUAAUAAUAAUAGCUACAACAACACAAUAGACUCACU
rnacentral:lncRNA from 11 species